GUUGCCAUCUGUCAGCUGAAAUGUUCUGCACAUUCACUGUUUGCUCAGCAUAACACAGACCAGUAGUAUUUGUCAGUAUGAGUUCCUGCACUGUGCCAAGAUAUGUGGUAAUCACCCACUGAAUGGUACCUUUCUAAAAGAGGCAGUGUUGUCUUAAACCACUUCAAAGUGAGCUCAAAAGCUUGCCUUUCUGUUCUGUGGUGUCUUCACAUUCUGACUCCAAAAACAGACAGCUUUUCUUUAAAAAUUCAGACCAUAUUAACUCUAUAAGAAGUAAAUACUUGUAACUGUGUUGCUCAGUUCAGGCUUUGUGACCUUGCCAGCUGCAAUCUGAAGACAUUUGUCAGAAUUCUAGUGCUAUAUAUUUUUCAUCACUUGCAGUAUUUCACCAGUGGCAUUAACCAGUUGGCAAUUUUCUCUCCAGUUCAUUUAUUUAUGGCAAAUCUGAAGGGAAAACAUUUGGUACCACUGUCCCUGAGAUCUCAAAUGCCACAAGCACAUGGAGGGUGGAAAAUCCAUUGGAAAAAUGGAUUUUAUAAUGGCAAGUAUUGGCUGGAGCUUUGUGGAAUCACGCAGAAAUGGAUCCUUGAACCUAAGAUAUUUUUGAACACCUUUGAUUACCCAAAACUCAUUGUUACAUCAUUGAUUCUCUCAAAGCAAAGUACUUACUCCCAGGAAUUAAACAAUAUCAGUGACUGGAAGUGGGAUUGUGAAAUAAUCCUCACCACAAUUAACAGCCUGGGACAACUGUAAAGUCUUUCAUGGAGUCUUUAUUAUCAGCGCUUACAGAAUAGGGCAUCACUCGUUUGAACUCAAUCUAUGGCUUUGAA
ensembl:lncRNA